AGGAUAAACGCUGGCGGCGUGCCUAACACAUGCAAGUCGAACGAGCUUUCUGUCUUCGGAGAGAGAGCGAGUGGCGGACGGGUGAGCAACACGUGGGUGACCUACCUUCCAGUGAGGAAUACCGGCGAGAAAUCGCCGACAAUACCGCAUGCGCUUCCCUUCGUGAGGGAGAGAAGCAAAGUCUCGCGCAAGUGAGACGCUGGAAGAUGGGGCCCCGCGGCCGAUUAGCUAGUUGGUGGGGUAACGGCCUACCAAGGCGACGAUCGGUAGCUGGUCUGAGAGGACGAUCAGCCACACUGGGAUUGAGAACGGCCCAGACUCCUACGGGGGGCAGCAGUGAGGAAUUUUCGGCAAUGGGGGCAACCCUGACCGAGCAACGCCGCGUGCAGGAAGACGGUUUUCGGAUCGUAAACUGCUUUUCUCUGGGAAGAGUAAGGACGGUACCAGAGGAAUCAGCCCGGCUAACUACGCGCCAGCAGCCGCGGU
rnacentral:rRNA from 1 species